GGCUCAUUGGUCUAGUAGUAUGAUUCUCGCUUAGGGUGCGAGAGGUCCCGGGUUCAAUUCCCGGAUGAGCCCACA
rnacentral:tRNA from 1 species